AUCUAUUUUCAGAGUACGCACCUCACGCGCACAUCAAAGGUGGACUUCUGAUCCCACAACGUCCUCUCUGAUGAGGUCUGACCCAACCAUCAUCCCCUCCAGUACAUCCGAUGAGUGCCGCGCUACAAUGGGAAUAAAGGAUUCGAUGAUCACGUUUCUCCCACACAUGGCUAGAGUUACAUUGAUUGAUACCACUUGAUUGGUUCGAAUAUUCAGCAUUUGGGCCACAAUUCUUCUGAGUUUUGAUCAACGUAGUAGCUUGUUGGUAAGUCCUCAUCAUUUUGGGAUGACUUAUACCUUCUUUCCAGUCAUUUACUUUUAGUUUCAGACUAUUGGAGUUAGUUAGGGCUUGUCCUAACAACUCAUUUAGUGGAGGC